AUUUCCAAUCAAACAUAAAACAUUUUGUUAUAGUUCUCAUUCAGAUCUGGCGUCAAGCUGUUGGUUGGCAAUCUUGGGAACUUCCCACGUGAGAUUUGAAACCAGCUCCAGUACACAGAGGGUAAGGAGAGAUCAAAAAAAGAAGCAGAGAACUCUAGACGGUGUUGCUGUAAAUCAGUGCUCUUCUAAUGCCAUCCUUAUUAAUACUCCCAAGAUCCUUGUGAUGCUACAACCUAAUGGGUUGAGGGUCUUCCCUUCUGCCCACUUUGUGCAAUAUGUCUGCUGCAUCUGCCUGACGAUGAACGUCAUUCUCUUCUUUUCAGCAAAGGUGAGGAAUAGGCCUUUGGGAAGUAAUUAUGUUUAGAAGAGGCCAUGAAGAUGGAGCCUCCAUGAUUGGAACAGUGUCCUUAUAAGAAGACAGACCAGAGACCGGAGCUCUCUCCAUUCGCACUCACACAAGAAAGGCCAAGUGAAGACUCAGCAAGAAAUGGGUACAAGCCAAGAAGAGAGCUCUUACCAGAAACCAAACCCUGCAGGACCCUCAUCUUUGAACUUCCCAGUCUCCAGAACUAUGAGAAAAGAAAGGUGUUUUGUUCAAGCUACCCAGUCUGUGAUAUUUUGUUAUGGCAGCUCUAGCAACCUAAGACAGCUUCUUACCAUGCUUCUGAUAAUUUUAGUUUUUUAUUACAUUAGCCCAUGUCAUUAAGUUGAUUUAUCCUAUUAUUUGUUUGAAA
rnacentral:lncRNA from 1 species